CGCCGGUUCUGCGAGGGCAGCAGCCCAAUACAGAAGCUCCGACAAUGUACUCUCUUCGAGCUGCUAAACCUCUGUACGUGUUGAAACAAAAGAGAGAAGGCUUCUUCGAUCUUUCUCAACUUUAUAGUUUCUACCGAAAGCGGAAGAGACCCAAUUUCGGAUUCGGCGAAUAAAGCACGCCCUACGCAUAUCAUUUGACCCGUUUCGCUUCCUAGAGGAUGUGUUCUUGUUUCUUGUCCUCAGUUGGUCUCUUGUUCUUGAUGAUUUUUUCUUUUGUUUUUGCAGAUUUAGCAACGGACUCAAUUUGGCGAACUUGGUCGUGUCCUCCCAUAUUCUUUGCAAUUCCAGGGCUGCAAUCUCUGAACUCCAGUCCCAGAUUGACCGCAAUCACGAAAGUCAUUGCCAUUAACAAAGCUGCGAUUUCUCUGUCCAACUCUCUCCGGAUUAAUAAGCUCUCCCCCCUGAAAGCUGAGGUUGCAACUUUCUCCAAGUCUGUUCCACACGUUAUAACUGGAGUUUGUUUGGGCGGAUCCAUUGCCUCUCUUUUCACGUUAUCCUACACACACUCGGUACAGAAGCCACAGAGUGCCCGCUUUCAUCACAUUUGGUUCGCCCCUCAUUGAGGAUGGUGGCUUCCAACAAGCAGUAUCGCAAAAUCCAAUCUGGAGUGCUUGCUUCUUGCAUGUGGUUCAUAAGGAUGACUGUUUCCCCAAAAUCUUUCACUUGUCGACCAUGGAGCAGAGCCUAUACAAGCCUUUUGGAACAUGUCUUCUGUGUUCCGAAUUGGGUAGUGCAUGUUUCAAAGCCUCUAAAUCCAUAAUUGAGUUGCUAGCCCCCAGAAGCCCAUAAAGUGUCCAAAUUUUCAAUUAUCAGAGCAUCAUCAAAUGUCUCUAACGGCAAUAGAUUUGCAAGAGCCAUUCUGAAUUUAGUAUGCGUGAUACUGAUUUAUUUAAAGCUGGGAUAAUUGCGCAAGUUGCAGCAAUUGGCCUUAUGCAAAUUCAGAAUAUGGAUAUCUCUGUUGAGGGAGAUAGUCAAGUCUGAAAAAGAUGUCCUAGAACAAAAGAAUAAAGCAUUUGAUCCUGCAAAGGAUUUGAAUGACAUGAAAGUGUGCCUUGCUAAUUUGGAAUGGUACAAGAAAAAAUGUGAGAACGAUGGCCAGGGUUUUGGUUACUUCAACAGCUUGAAGAACAAAAUGGCUAUGCGUGACUAUGAAGCUGUUAAGUUUAUGAAAAAGCUCACUGAUUACUGGGAAUGAGUGGUGGAAGACACGUAGAAGAGGCCUCAGAGAGAGGGAGCACCGCUUCGGAAUCGCUGGUUUUUUGGAGGAACAAACUAUCGGAGGUUGGUCGAACCGCUCCACAUAGCUGAGUACUACAAGUGGGGCAAAAGAGGUUACAUAUCUCAAGGGAGAUCCAAGCACUUCAAGCUAUUGAAAGAGUGGUUGGACAAACAUCCGAAACAGCCAGUAAAGUGUUUCCCUAUUGUUUGAAAGCGAAGAAGAUCAUGUCCAGUGUUCACGGAGAAUUCGUGCUUCUCGGCACAUGUGGAGGAGGCGCGAAUAUCGUGCAGGUUGUUGAACAGCGGAGGAUCGAAUAGCACAGAAAUAGAAAAAUUGUUGAACAGCACAGGAUUCGUACUGCUGCUGCUACUGCUUGUCCUACUGCUGCUGCAAAUGAUCAGAGCAACUCGCUGUUUUCAUGACGGAUGGCGACUGGUACCGGUAUAAAUCAGAUGCUUUAAUAGCUCCCGGGCAUGGAGUUGAACUUGAAGACUCUAGGGCCAAGAGCUCCGUCCUUCUCUUGUCCACCGCGUUCUCGACAUCUUCCAGCCAUUUCCCGAAUACCACAAAAUCGUUAAAGCUAAAGUUUUCGAAUCGCAGGGGCUUAAUAUCGCUCAGCUCUUUAGCUCCUUUCAUUCCAGCUUUCAGUUGCUCGAGCACAUCGACAUAUUGUUUGUUCAGUUUCUCUAGGAUCUGCUGUCUGUCUGUUUGAGCCUGUUGAGUAGCAUCAAUACAAGCCAUCUUUGGAUGCUCACGCAUAUCCA